rnacentral:rRNA from 1 species
CCUACGGGAGGCAGCAGUGAGGAAUAUUGGUCAAUGGGCGCGAGCCUGAACCAGCCAAGUCGCGUGAGGGAAGACGGCCCUACGGGUUGUAAACCUCUUUUGCCGGGGAGCAACGGGCGCCACGUGUGGCCCCACUGAGAGUACCCGGAGAAAAAGCAUCGGCUAACUCCGUGCCAGCCGCCGCGGUAAUACGGGGGAUGCGAGCGGUAUACGGAUUUAUGGGGUUUAAGGGGUGCGUAGGAGGGGCGUUAAGUCAGUGGUCAAAUUGAGGGGCUCAACCCCUGCCCGCCAUUGAAACUGGCGCUCUUGAGUGGAAGAGAAGUAUGCGGAAUGCGUGGUGUAGCGGUGAAAUGCAUAGAUAUCACGCAGAACCCCGAUUGCGAAGGCAGCAUGCCGGCUUCCGACUGACGCUGAAGCACGAAAGCGUGGGGAUCGAACAGGAUUAGAUACCCCUGUAGUC